CCCUUAGAUGUUCUGGGCCGCACGCGCGCUACACUGAUGCAUUCAACGAGUCUAAAACCUGGUCUGAUAGGGCUGGGUAAUCUUUUGAAUGUGCAUCGUGAUUGGGAUAGAUGAUUGCAAUUCCUCAUCUUCAACGAGGAAUGCCUAGUAAACGCAAGUCAUCAGCUUGCAUUGAUUACGUCCCUGCCCUUUGUACACACCGCCCGUCGCUCCUACCGAUUGAAUGUUCCGAUGAAUACCAUGGACUGAGAGUAUGAAUGGGUUCGCCUAUUUCUGCUUCUCGGGAAGUGGAGUAAAUCUUAACAUUUAGAGGAAGGAGAAGUCGUAACA
rnacentral:rRNA from 1 species